CCUACGGGAGGCUGCAGUGAGGAAUAUUGGUCAAUGGGCGGGAGCCUGAACCAGCCAAGUCGCGUGAGGGAAGACGGUCCUAUGGAUUGUAAACCUCUUUAGGCGGGGAGCAAUGCCGGGCACGCGUGCCCGGAGGGAGAGUACCCGCAGAAUAAGCAUCGGCUAACUCCGUGCCAGCAGCCGCGGUAAUACGGAGGAUGCGAGCGUUAUCCGGAUUGAUUGGGUUUAAAGGGUGCGUAGGCGGAUUUUUAAGGCAGCGGUAAAAUGUCCGGGCUCAACCCAGGCCGGCCGUUGAAACUGGGGAUCUUGAGUGGGCGAGAAGUAUGCGGAAUGCGUGGUGUAGCGGUGAAAUGCAUAGAUAUCACGCAGAACUCCGAUUGCGAAGGCAGCAUACCGGCGCCCGACUGACGCUGAGGCACGAAAGCGUGGGGAUCGAACAGGAUUAGAUACCCGGGUAGUC
rnacentral:rRNA from 1 species